GAGUAAUGUCUGGGAAACUGCCUGAUGGAGGGGGAUAACUACUGGAAACGGUAGCUAAUACCGCAUAACGUCGCAAGACCAAAGAGGGGGACCUUCGGGCCUCUUGCCAUCGGAUGUGCCCAGAUGGGAUUAGCUAGUAGGUGGGGUAAAGGCUCACCUAGGCGACGAUCCCUAGCUGGUCUGAGAGGAUGACCAGCCACACUGGAACUGAGACACGGUCCAGACUCCUACGGGAGGCAGCAGUGGGGAAUAUUGCACAAUGGGCGCAAGCCUGAUGCAGCCAUGCCGCGUGUAUGAAGAAGGCCUUCGGGUUGUAAAGUACUUUCAGCGGGGAGGAAGGGAGUAAAGUUAAUACCUUUGCUCAUUGACGUUACCCGCAGAAGAAGCACCGGCUAACUCCGUGCCAGCAGCCGCGGUAAUACGGAGGGUGCAAGCGUUAAUCGGAAUUACUGGGCGUAAAGCGCACGCAGGCGGUUUGUUAAGUCAGAUGUGAAAUCCCCGGGCUCAACCUGGGAACUGCAUCUGAUACUGGCAAGCUUGAGUCUCGUAGAGGGGGGUAGAAUUCCAGGU
rnacentral:rRNA from 1 species